rnacentral:rRNA from 1 species
GGUUAGUCGGCCCCUAAGGCGAGGGCGAAAGCCGUAGUCGAUGGGAAGCAGGUUAAUAUUCCUGCACCAGCUGGUAGUGACGGAUGAAGUAAAUUGUAAGUUCUUACUGGAUUGAGCUUGCAGUGAAUUUGUCCCUGGAAAUAGCUCCAGCAUUAGACCGUACCAAAACCGACACAGGUAGGAGGGUAGAGAAUACCAAGGCGCUUGAGAGAACUAUGUUGAAGGAACUCGGCAAAUUACACUUGUAACUUCGGGAUAAAAGUGACCUGCUAUUGGGCAACCAGUAGGAGGUGGCACAGAAGAGGGGGUAGCGACUGUUUACUAAAAACAUAGCACUAUGCAAAGUCGAAAGACGACGUAUAUGGUGUGACGCCUGCCCGGUGCCGGAAGGUUAAUAGGAGGGGUGCAAGCCCUGAAUUGAAGCCCCGGUGAACGGCGGCCGUAACUAUAACGGUCCUAAGGUAGCGAAAUUCCUUGUCGGGUAAGUUCCGACCUGCACGAAUGGCGUAACGAUUUCCCCACUGUCUCCAACAUAGACUCAGUGAAAUUGAAUUCUCGGUUAAGAUGCCGAGUAACCGUGGUUAGACGGAAAGACCCCGUGCACCUUUACUGCAGCUUUGUAUUGGUAUUAGGGGACAGAUGUGUAGCAUAGGUGGGAGACUUUGAAGGAUUGGCGCUAGCCAGUCUGGAGUCACUAGUGAAAUACCACUCUUCUGUUCCUUGAUGCCUAACCAUACACCGUCAUCCGGUGUUGGGACCAUGCAUGGUGGGCAGUUUGACUGGGGCGGUCGCCUCCCAAAGAGUAACGGAGGCGCGCGAUGGUAGGCUCAGAACGCUUGGAAACCGUUCGUCGAGUGCAAUGGCAUAAGCCUGCCUGACUGCGAGACCCACAAGUCGAGCAGAGACGAAAGUCGGUCAUAGUGAUCCGGUGGCACUUCGUGGAAGGGCCAUCGCUCAACGGAUAAAAGGUACGCCGGGGAUAA